rnacentral:rRNA from 1 species
UACGUAGGUGGCAAGCGUUGUCCGGAAUUACUGGGCGUAAAGAGCGCGCAGGCGGUUCAUCAAGUCGAAUGUGAAAGCCCCCGGCUUAACCGGGGAGGGUCGUUGGGGACGGCGGGGCUUGAGGGCGGGAGAGGGUGGUGGAAUUCCCGGUGUAGUGGUGAAAUGCGUAGAGAUCGGGAGGAACACCCGUGGCGAAGGCGGCCACCUGGGCCGACCCUGACGCUGAGGCGCGAAGGCGUGGGGAGCGAACGGG